CAAAAGCAUGAGUUGGUGUUUGAUGUAUUGAUAUAUGUUAAAAGUUGUUUUUUUUGGUAAACUUUGGGAUGACUUUUAUUGUGGUCUUUGAUCUGCACCAGGCCUAGACCAUAAAACAUCUAGAUAGCCAUCACCAGAGCUGGACACAAGGAAUAGCAUAGAGUGGGCAUUAAACUGCCAGACCAACCCCCACAAGAAUUCUAUAUGGGGUAAAUGCAUGUAAGGAAUUUCUUGUGUUUUCUCCUAUUUUAUUUUAUGCACUGUUUUGCAAUUUGUUAUCUGUAUGUAAUUUAUUUCUGUAUCUUGUACUCAGC